CGAGAGUUUCAUCCCCCUCGGCCUUAGGCAUUCUUCGAGUCAAUCCCCAUCUUUGCACCUCUACACCUCUCGGACCAGCCUAGGUUAGUUCCAGAACUCUCCUCUUCUUCUUUUUUUUUUCUCUUCCCUGCUGUUCCUCUUCCAUUUUGCUCCUUUAUAUUCUGCCUGUUCAGUUUUUUUACGAGCGCCCCAUCUCUUAUUUUUCUCAAUUUUUUCAGAUUUUUAGGGUUUUCACUUGAUUCAAAAUGUCCUCCAACACUUCCUUCUCUAGCAGUUCUAGGAGUUCGUCUGUUCUAGUCCCAUAAAAUCCUAGCUCGAUAGAAGAACCUCAUUU
rnacentral:lncRNA from 1 species